rnacentral:rRNA from 1 species
CCUAANCAUGCAAGUCGAGCGAACAGAUAAGGAGCUUGCUCCUUUGACGUUAGCGGCGGACGGGUGAGUAACACGUGGGUAACCUACCUAUAAGACUGGGAUAACUUCGGGAAACCGGAGCUAAUACCGGAUAACAUUUGGAACCGCAUGGUUCUAAAGUGAAAGAUGGUUUUGCUAUCACUUAUAGAUGGACCCGCGCCGUAUUAGCUAGUUGGUAAGGUAACGGCUUACCAAGGCNACGAUACGUAGCCGACCUGAGAGGGUGAUCGGCCACACUGGAACUGAGACACGGUCCAGACUCCUACGGGAGGCAGCAGUAGGGAAUCUUCCGCAAUGGGCGAAAGCCUGACGGAGCAACGCCGCGUGAGUGAUGAAGGGUUUCGGCUCGUAAAACUCUGUUAUUAGGGAAGAACAAACGUGUAAGUAACUGUGCACGUCUUGACGGUACCUAAUCAGAAAGCCACGGCUAACUACGUGCCAGCAGCCGCGGUAAUACGUAGGUGGCAAGCGUUAUCCGGAAUUAUUGGGCGUAAAGCGCGCGUAGGCGGUUUCUUAAGUCUGAUGUGAAAGCCCACGGCUCAACCGUGGAGGGUCAUUGGAAACUGGGAAACUUGAGUGCAGAAGAGGAAAGUGGAAUUCC